rnacentral:lncRNA from 10 species
GGGUGCCCUGCCCCCGUCCAGGAGCCCUAGGAGUGCUACGGGGGGCCGGAGCCUUGCCCGGGCCGCUGCCCCGUCCCUGGAUUCGGGGCUGGACGCAGCAAGCGGGGCGCUGUGUCCCCAAGCUCCCCGUCCUCGGGAAACCGAGGUACUUGGAGCUUGAGGUCACACAGCUGUGAGUUGCAAAGUCAGAUAUGAACUCAGGCAUUUGGCUCCAGAGUUCCUACUAUACUAUUUCUGUUGAACAUAUUUUGUAUGCACAUUGUUGGAGGCAUUUGUGUGCAUGUGCAGGAUGGAUGAGUUUCCAGGAGUGCUUCUGGGGAUGGAGUAUGAAGGCUGAGCUUUCCACUGUAGGACAUUUGUGUGCACGUGUGCAUUGUACAUUCAUUGUGCGUACAGGAGCAGAUGGGAAUUUUGUGCGACUGGAAUAGAAGGGGGUGAGCAGGGACCUCCUUAGUCCUCUCGAG